rnacentral:rRNA from 1 species
CGAAGGGUGCGAGCGUUGUUCGGAAUUACUGGGCGUAAAGGGCUCGUAGGUGGCCAACUAAGUCGGACGUGAAAUCCCUCGGCUUAACCGGGGAACUGCGUCCGAUACUGGUUGGCUUGAGUUUGGGAGAGGGAUGCGGAAUUCCAGGUGUAGCGGUGAAAUGCGUAGAUAUCUGGAGGAACACCGGUGGCGAAGGCGGCAUCCUGGACCAAUACUGACGCUGAGGAGCGAAAGCCAGGGGAGCAAACGGGAUUAGAUACCCCGGUAGUCCUGGCCCUAAACGAUGAAUGCUUGGUGUGGCGGGUAUCGAUCCCUGCCGUGCCGAAGCUAACGCAUUAAGCAUUCCGCCUGGGGAGUACGGUCGCAAGGCUG